CGCAGCCGCGGUAAUUCCAGCUCCAAUAGCGUAUAUUAAAGUUGUUGCAGUUAAAAAGCUCGUAGUUGAAUUUCGGGGUUAGUAGGUUGGUCAUGCCUCUGGUAUGUACUGGUCUCACUGAUUCCUCCUUCCUGAUGAGCCGUAAUGCCAUUAAUUUGGUGUUGCGGGGAAUUUGGACUGUUACUUUGAAAAAAUUUAGAGUGUUUAAAGCAGGCUUACGCUUGAAUACAUUAGCAUGGAAUAAUGAAAUAGGACGUAUGAUCCUAUUUUGUUGGUUUCUAGGAUUGACGUAAUGAUUAAUAGGGAUAGUUGGGGGCGAUUAGUAUUCAAUUGUCAGAGGUGAAAUUCUUGGAUUUAUUGAAGACUAACUACUGCGAAAGCAUUUGCCAAGGAUGUUUUCAUUAAUCAAGAACGAAAGUUAGGGGAUCGAAGACGAUCAGAUACCGUCGUAGUCUUAACCAUAAACUAUGCCGACUAGGGAUCGGAUGAUGUUAAUUUUUUAAUGACUCAUUCGGCGCCU
rnacentral:rRNA from 1 species